UACGUAGGGUGCAAGCGUUGUCCGGAAUUAUUGGGCGUAAAGAGCGUGUAGGCGGCCCGAUUAGUCCGCUGUGAAAGUCCAGGGCUCAACCCUGGAAUGCCGGUGGAUACUGUCGGGCUAGAGUCCGGAAGGGGCGAGUGGAAUUCCUGGUGUAGCGGUGAAAUGCGCAGAUAUCAGGAAGAACACCCGUGGCGAAGGCGGCUCUCUGGGGACGGUACUGACGCUGAGACGCGAAAGCGUGGGGAGCAAACAGG
rnacentral:rRNA from 1 species